UCACUUAUAGAUGGAUCCGCGGUGCAUUAGCUAGUUGGUAAGGUAACGGCUUACCAAGGCAACGAUGCAUAGCCGACCUGAGAGGGUGAUCGGCCACAAUGGAACUGAGACACGGUCCAUACUCCUACGGGAGGCAGCAGUGAGGAAUAUUGGUCAAUGGGCGGAAGCCUGAACCAGCCAUGCCGCGUGCGGGAAGGAGGCCCUAUGGGCUGUGAACCGCUUUUGCCUGGGGGCAAUAAGGGCGUCGCGCACGUCCGAUGAGAGUACCAGGCGAAUAAGCAUCGGCUAACUCCGUGCCAGCAGCCGCGGUAAUACGGGGGAUGCGAGCGUUAUCCGGAUUCAUUGGGUUUAAAGGGUGCGUAGGCUGUGCGUCAAGUCAGGGGUGAAAUUCCGGGGCUCAACUCCGGGGCUGCCCUUGAUACUGUCGCGCUGGAGUGCGGAUGCCGCCGGAGGAAUGAGUGGUGUAGCGGUGAAAUGCUUAGAUAUCACUCAGAACACCGAUUGCGAAGGCAUCUGGCGAAUCCGUAACUGACGCUGAGGCACGAAAGCGUGGGGAUAGAACAGGAUUAGAUACCCUGGUAUUCCACGCCGUAAACGAUGAUGGCUAACCGCCGGCGACACACUGUCGGUGGCCAAGCGAAAGCGAUAAGCCAUCCACCUGGGGAGUACGUCGGCAACGAUGAAACUCAAAGGAAUUGACGGGGGCCCGCACAAGCGGAGGAACAUGUGGUUUAAUUCGAUGAUACGCGAGGAACCUUACCCGGGCUCGAACGGCGCCUGAGCCACCCAGAGAUGGGUGGGUCUUCGGACAGGUGCCGAGGUGCUGCAUGGUUGUCGUCAGCUCGUGCCGUGAGGUGUCGGCUCAAGUGCCAUAACGAGCGCAACCCCUGCCGCCAGUUGCCAUCAGGUCAUGCUGGGCACUCUGGCGGGACUGCCACCGCAAGGUGUGAGGAGGGGGGGGAUGACGUCAAAUCAGCACGGCCCUUACGUCCGGGGCGACACACGUGUUACAAUGGCGGCCACAGAGGGAAGCUAUCCGGCGACGGGAUGCGGAUCUCGAAAAGCCGUCCCAGUUCGGACUGGAGUCUGCAACCCGACUCCACGAAGUUGGAUUCGCUAGUAAUCGCGCAUCAGCCAUGGCGCGGUGAAUACGUUCCCGGGCCUUGCACACACCGCCCGUCAAG
rnacentral:rRNA from 1 species